UCCCUUGUGGCUUAGAGGUUAAAGCAUCUGCCUGCAAUGCGGGAGACCUGGGUUCGAUCCCUGGGUCGGGAA
rnacentral:tRNA from 1 species